rnacentral:rRNA from 1 species
AUUGAACGCUGGCGGCAGGCUUAACACAUGCAAGUCGAGCGGAGUGAUGGUGCUUGCACUAUCACUUAGCGGCGGACGGGUGAGUAAUGCUUAGGAAUCUGCCAUUUAGUGGGGGACAACAUUCCGAAAGGAAUGCUAAUACCGCAUACGUCCUACGGGAGAAAGCAGGGGAUCUUCGGACCUUGCGCUAAAUGAUGAGCCUAAGUCGGAUUAGCUAGUUGGUGGGGUAAAGGCCUACCAAGGCGACGAUCUGUAGCGGGUCUGAGAGGAUGAUCCGCCACACUGGGACUGAGACACGGCCCAGACUCCUACGGGAGGCAGCAGUGGGGAAUAUUGGACAAUGGGCGGAAGCCUGAUCCAGCCAUGCCGCGUGUGUGAAGAAGGCCUUUUGGUUGUAAAGCACUUUAAGCGAGGAGGAGGCUCUCCUAGUUAAUACCUAGGAAGAGUGGACGUUACUCGCAGAAUAAGCACCGGCUAACUCUGUGCCAGCAGCCGCGGUAAUACAGAGGGUGCGAGCGUUAAUCGGAUUUACUGGGCGUAAAGCGUGCGUAGGCGGCUGAUUAAGUCGGAUGUGAAAUCCCUGAGCUUAACUUAGGAAUUGCAUUCGAUACUGGUCAGCUAGAGUAUGGGAGAGGAUGGUAGAAUUCCAGGUGUAGCGGUGAAAUGCGUAGAGAUCUGGAGGAAUACCGAUGGCGAAGGCAGCCAUCUGGCCUAAUACUGACGCUGAGGUACGAAAGCAUGGGGAGCAAAACAGGAUUAGAUACCCUGGUAGUCCAUGCCGUAAACGAUGUCUACUAGCCGUUGGGGCCUUUGAGGCUUUAGUGGCGCAGCUAACGCGAUAAGUAGACCGCCUGGGGAGUACGGUCGCAAGACUAAAACUCAAAUGAAUUGACGGGGGCCCGCACAAGCGGUGGAGCAUGUGGUUUAAUUCGAUGCAACGCGAAGAACCUUACCUGGCCUUGACAUACUAGAAACUUUCCAGAGAUGGAUUGGUGCCUUCGGGAAUCUAGAUACAGGCGCUGCAUGGCUGUCGUCAGCUCGUGUCGUGAGAUGUUGGGUUAAGUCCCGCAACGAGCGCAACCCUUUUCCUUAUUUGCCAGCGAGUAAUGUCGGGAACUUUAAGGAUACUGCCAGUGACAAACUGGAGGAAGGCGGGGACGACGUCAAGUCAUCAUGGCCCUUACGGCCAGGGCUACACACGUGCUACAAUGGUCGGUACAAAGGGUUGCUACCUAGCGAUAGGAUGCUAAUCUCAAAAAGCCGAUCGUAGUCCGGAUUGGAGUCUGCAACUCGACUCCAUGAAGUCGGAAUCGCUAGUAAUCGCGGAUCAGAAUGCCGCGGUGAAUACGUUCCCGGGCCUUGUACACACCGCCCGUCACACCAUGAGAGUUUGUAACACCCAAAGCCGGUGAGGUAACCUUCGGGAGCCAGCCGUCUAAGGUGGGACAGAUGAUUAGGGUG